rfam:Camelus ferus unplaced genomic scaffold scaffold49, whole genome shotgun sequence.
GGGUGUGGCUCCAUGGUAGAGCAUGUGCUUAGCAUGCACAAGGUCCUGGAUUCAAUCCCUAGUACUUCCA